rnacentral:rRNA from 1 species
UAGUCCACGCCGUAAACGAUGGGCACUAGAUGUUGGUUCUAUCUUAACGGGUAGGAUCGGUGUCGCAGCUAACGUAUUAAGUGCCCCGCCUGGGGAGUACGAUCGCAAGGUUGAAACUCAAAGGAAUUGACGGGGGCCCGCACAAGCGGUGGAGCAUGUGGUUUAAUUCGAUGCAACGCGCAGAACCUUACCGGGGCUUGAACUGCUAGGUAAAGCCUGUGAAAGCAGGUCUGCUCUUCGGAGCGACCUAGUAGAGGUGCUGCAUGGCUGUCGUCAGCUCGUGUCGUGAGAUGUUGGGUUAAGUCCCGCAACGAGCGCAACCCCGUGCCCUUAGUUGCCAUCACAUAAUGGUGGGCACUCUAAGGGGGACUGGCCGGUGAUAAACUGGAGGAAGGUGGGGAUGACGUCAAGUCCUCAUGGCCCUUACGUCCCGGGCUACACACGUGCUACAAUGGCCGGCACAACGGGCAGCAAGAUCGCGAGAUGGAGCUAAUCCCUAAAAACCGGCCU